rnacentral:rRNA from 1 species
UACGUAGGGUGCGAGCGUUAAUCGGAAUUACUGGGCGUAAAGCGUGCGCAGGCGGCGCGUUAAGACAGGUGUGAAAGCCCCGAGCUUAACUUGGGAAUUGCGCUUGUGACUGGCGUGCUGGAGUGUGGCAGAGGGAGGUGGAAUUCCACGUGUAGCAGUGAAAUGCGUAGAGAUGUGGAGGAACACCAAUGGCGAAGGCAGCCUUCUGGGCCAACACUGACGCUCAUGCACGAAAGCGUGGGGAGCAAACAGG